rnacentral:rRNA from 1 species
ACAUGCCUACAGAUAGUAUCAAUGUAGUGGAUCCCAUUAGAACUCCGCAGUUAAGCAUGCUGAUGCUAGAGUAGUACUGGGAUGGGUGAUCGCCCGAGAAUUCCUAGUGUUUUACAUGCC